CGGCUUGUGUCUCACGGUGUCGUCUCGUUCCCAUGGGUCAGCAUCGACCUGGACUACCAUUACUGUACCCCACAUCUCCCUCUGUCUGUUACUGUACCCCACAUCUCCCUCUGUCUGUUACUGUACCCCACAUCUCCUCCUCUGUCUGUUACUGUACCCCACAUCACCCUCUGUCUGUUACUGUACCCCACAUCUCCUCCUCUGUCUGUUACUGUACCCCACAUCUCCCCCUGUCUGCUACUGUACCCCACAUCUCUUCCUCUGUCUGUUACUGUACCCCACAUCUCCCCCUGUCUGCUACUGUACCCCACAUCUCCCCCUGUCUGUUACUGUACCCCACUCUCCCCCUGUCUGUUACUGUACCCCACAUCUCCUCCUCUGUCUGUUACUGUACCCCACAUCUCCUCCUCUGUCUGUUACUGUACCCCACUCUCCCCCUGUCUGCUACUGUACCCCACAUCUCCUCCUCUGUCUGUUACUGUACCCCACAUCUCCUCCUCUGUCUGUUACUGUACCCCACAUCACCCUCUCUGUCUGUUACUGUACCCCACAUCACCUCCUCUGUCUGUUACUGUACCCCACUCUCCCCCUGUCUGCUACUGUACCCACAUCUCCCCCUGUCUGUUACUGUACCCCACAUCUCCUCCUCUGUCUGUUACUGUACCCCACAUCACCCUCUCUGUCUGUUACUGUACCCCACAUCACCUCCUCUGUCUGUUACUGUACCCCACAUCUCCUCCUCUGUCUGUUACUGUACCCCACAUCUCCCCCUGUCUGCUACUGUACCCCACAUCUCCCCCUGUCUGUUACUGUACCCCACUCUCCCCCUGUCUGUUACUGUACCCCACAUCUCCUCCUCUGUCUGUUACUGUACCCCACAUCUCCUCCUCUGUCUGUUACUGUACCCCACUCUCCCCCUGUCUGCUACUGUACCCCACAUCUCCUCCUCUGUCUGUUACUGUACCCCACAUCUCCUCCUCUGUCUGUUACUGUACCCCACAUCACCCUCUCUGUCUGUUACUGUACCCCACAUCACCUCCUCUGUCUGUUACUGUACCCCACUCUCCCCCUGUCUGCUACUGUACCCCACAUCUCCCCUGUCUGUUACUGUACCCCACAUCUCCUCCUCUGUCUGUUACUGUACCCCACAUCACCCUCUCUGUCUGUUACUGUACCCCACAUCACCUCCUCUGUCUGUUACUGUACCCCACAUCUCCUCCUCUGUCUGUUACUGUACCCCACUCUCCCCCUGUCUGCUACUGUACCCCACAUCUCCCCCUGUCUGCUACUGUACCCCACAUCUCCCCUGUCUGCUACUGUACCCCACAUCUCCCUCUCAGUCUGUUACUGUACCCCACAUCUCCCUCUGUCUGUUACUGUACCCCACAUCUCCCCCUGUCUGCUACUGUACCCCACAUCUCCAUCUCAGUCUGUUACUGCACCCCACAUCUCCCUCUGUCUGUUACUGUACCCCACAUCUCCCUCUGUCUGUUACUGUACCCCACAUCUCCCUCUCAGUCUGUUACUGUACCCCACAUCUCCCUCUGUCUGUUACUGUACCCCACAUCUCCCCCUGUCUGUUACUGUACCCCACAUCACCCUCUCUGUCUGUUACUGUACCCCACAUCUCCUCCUCUGUCUGUUACUGUACCCCACAUCUCCCUCUCAGUCUGUUACUGUACCCCACAUCUCCCUCUCUGUCUGUUACUGUACCCCACAUCUCCCUCUCAGUCUGUUACUGUACCCCACAUCUCCCCUGUCUGUUACUGUACCCCACAUCUCCCCCUGUCUGUUACUGUACCCCACAUCUCCCUCUGUCUGUUACUGUACCCCACAUCUCCCUCUGUCUGUUACUGUACCCCACAUCUCCCUCAGUCUGUUACUGUACCCCACAUCUCCCUCUCUGUCUAUUACUGUACCCCACAUCUCCCUCUCAGUAUAUUACUGUACCCCACAUCUCCCUCUCAGUAUAUAACUGUACCCCACAUCUCCCUCUCAGUCUGUUACUGUACCCCACAUCUCCCUCUCAGUCUGUUACUGUACCCCACAUCUCCCUCAGUCUGUUACUGUACCCCACAUCUCCCUCUGUCUGUUACUGUACCCCACAUCCCCCUCUCAGUAUGUUACUGUACCACACAUCUCCCUCUCAGUCUAUUACUGUACCCCACAUCUCCCCCUGUCUGCUACUGUACCCCACAUCUCCCUCUCAGUCUGUUACUGUACCCCACAUCUCCCUCUGUCUGUUACUGUACCCCACAUCUCCCCCUGUCUGCUACUGUACCCCACAUCUCCCUCUCAGUCUGUUACUGUACCCCACAUCUCCCUCUGUCUGUUACUGUACCCCACAUCUCCCUCUGUCUGUUACUGUACCCCACAUCUCCCUCUCAGUCUGUUACUGUACCCCACAUCUCCCUCUGUCUGUUACUGUACCCCACAUCUCCCCCUGUCUGUUACUGUACCCCACAUCACCCUCUCUGUCUGUUACUGUACCACGCAUCUCCUCCUCUGUCUGUUACUGUACCCCACAUCUCCCUCUCAGUCUGUUACUGUACCCCACAUCUCCCUCUCUGUCUGUUACUGUACCCCACAUCUCCCUCUCAGUCUGUUACUGUACCCCACAUCUCCCCUGUCUGUUACUGUACCCCACAUCUCCCCCUGUCUGUUACUGUACCCCACAUCUCCCUCUGUCUGUUACUGUACCCCACAUCUCCCUCUGUCUGUUACUGUACCCCACAUCUCCCUCAGUCUGUUACUGUACCCCACAUCUCCCUCUCUGUCUAUUACUGUACCCCACAUCUCCCUCUCAGUAUAUUACUGUACCCCACAUCUCCCUCUCAGUAUAUUACUGUACCCCACAUCUCCCUCUCAGUCUGUUACUGUACCCCACAUCUCCCUCUCAGUCUGUUACUGUACCCCACAUCUCCCUCAGUCUGUUACUGUACCCCACAUCUCCCUCUGUCUGUUACUGUACCCCACAUCUCCCUCUCAGUCUAUUACUGUACCCCACAUCUCCCUCUCAGUCUGUUACUGUACCCCACAUCUCCCUCAGUCUGUUACUGUACCCCACAUCUCCCUCUCAGUCUGUUACUGUACCCCACAUCCCCCUCUCAGUAUGUUACUGUACCACACAUCUCCCUCUCAGUCUAUUACUGUACCCCACAUCUCCCUCAGUCUGUUACUGUACCCCACAUCUCCCUCUCAGUCUGUUACUUUACCCCACAUCUCCCUCUCAGUCGGUUACUGUACCCCCACAUCUCCCUCUGUCUGUUACUGUACCCCACAUCUCCUCCUCUGUCUGUUACUGUACCCCACAUCACCCUCUCUGUCUGUUACUGUACCCCACAUCACCUCCUCUGUCUGUUACUGUACCCCACUCUCCCCCUGUCUGCUACUGUACCCCACAUCUCCCCCUGUCUGUUACUGUACCCCACAUCUCCUCCUCUGUCUGUUACUGUACCCCACAUCACCCUCUCUGUCUGUUACUGUACCCCACAUCACCUCCUCUGUCUGUUACUGUACCCCACAUCUCCUCCUCUGUCUGUUACUGUACCCCACUCUCCCCCUGUCUGCUACUGUACCCCACAUCUCCCCCUGUCUGCUACUGUACCCCACAUCUCCCCUGUCUGCUACUGUACCCCACAUCUCCCUCUCAGUCUGUUACUGUACCCCACAUCUCCCUCUGUCUGUUACUGUACCCCACAUCUCCCCCUGUCUGCUACUGUACCCCACAUCUCCAUCUCAGUCUGUUACUGCACCCCACAUCUCCCUCUGUCUGUUACUGUACCCCACAUCUCCCUCUGUCUGUUACUGUACCCCACAUCUCCCUCUCAGUCUGUUACUGUACCCCACAUCUCCCUCUGUCUGUUACUGUACCCCACAUCUCCCCCUGUCUGUUACUGUACCCCACAUCACCCUCUCUGUCUGUUACUGUACCCCACAUCUCCUCCUCUGUCUGUUACUGUACCCCACAUCUCCCUCUCAGUCUGUUACUGUACCCCACAUCUCCCUCUCUGUCUGUUACUGUACCCCACAUCUCCCUCUCAGUCUGUUACUGUACCCCACAUCUCCCCUGUCUGUUACUGUACCCCACAUCUCCCCCUGUCUGUUACUGUACCCCACAUCUCCCUCUGUCUGUUACUGUACCCCACAUCUCCCUCUGUCUGUUACUGUACCCCACAUCUCCCUCAGUCUGUUACUGUACCCCACAUCUCCCUCUCUGUCUAUUACUGUACCCCACAUCUCCCUCUCAGUAUAUUACUGUACCCCACAUCUCCCUCUCAGUAUAUUACUGUACCCCACAUCUCCCUCUCAGUCUGUUACUGUACCCCACAUCUCCCUCUCAGUCUGUUACUGUACCCCACAUCUCCCUCAGUCUGUUACUGUACCCCACAUCUCCCUCUGUCUGUUACUGUACCCCACAUCCCCCUCUCAGUAUGUUACUGUACCACACAUCUCCCUCUCAGUCUAUUACUGUACCCCACAUCUCCCCCUGUCUGCUACUGUACCCCACAUCUCCCUCUCAGUCUGUUACUGUACCCCACAUCUCCCUCUGUCUGUUACUGUACCCCACAUCUCCCCCUGUCUGCUACUGUACCCCACAUCUCCCUCUCAGUCUGUUACUGUACCCCACAUCUCCCUCUGUCUGUUACUGUACCCCACAUCUCCCUCUGUCUGUUACUGUACCCCACAUCUCCCUCUCAGUCUGUUACUGUACCCCACAUCUCCCUCUGUCUGUUACUGUACCCCACAUCUCCCCCUGUCUGUUACUGUACCCCACAUCACCCUCUCUGUCUGUUACUGUACCACGCAUCUCCUCCUCUGUCUGUUACUGUACCCCACAUCUCCCUCUCAGUCUGUUACUGUACCCCACAUCUCCCUCUCUGUCUGUUACUGUACCCCACAUCUCCCUCUCAGUCUGUUACUGUACCCCACAUCUCCCCUGUCUGUUACUGUACCCCACAUCUCCCCCUGUAUGUUACUGUACCCCACAUCUCCCUCUGUCUGUUACUGUACCCCACAUCUCCCUCUGUCUGUUACUGUACCCCACAUCUCCCUCAGUCUGUUACUGUACCCCACAUCUCCCUCUCUGUCUAUUACUGUACCCCACAUCUCCCUCUCAGUAUAUUACUGUACCCCACAUCUCCCUCUCAGUAUAUUACUGUACCCCACAUCUCCCUCUCAGUCUGUUACUGUACCCCACAUCUCCCUCUCAGUCUGUUACUGUACCCCACAUCUCCCUCAGUCUGUUACUGUACCCCACAUCUCCCUCUGUCUGUUACUGUACCCCACAUCUCCCUCUCAGUCUAUUACUGUACCCCACAUCUCCCUCUCAGUCUGUUACUGUACCCCACAUCUCCCUCAGUCUGUUACUGUACCCCACAUCUCCCUCUCAGUCUGUUACUGUACCCCACAUCCCCCUCUCAGUAUGUUACUGUACCACACAUCUCCCUCUCAGUCUAUUACUGUACCCCACAUCUCCCUCAGUCUGUUACUGUACCCCACAUCUCCCUCUCAGUCUGUUACUUUACCCCACAUCUCCCUCUCAGUCGGUUACUGUACCCCCACAUCUCCCUCUGUCUAUUACUGUACCCCACAUCUCCCUCUCAGUCUAUUACUGUACCCCACAUCUCCCUCUCAGUAUAUUACUGUACCCCACAUCUCCCUCUCAGCCUGUUACUGUACCCCACAUCUCCCUCUCAGUCUGCAUUUCGUUCUCAUUUAAAAUGACAUCAAACCCAGCCUGAAACC
rnacentral:lncRNA from 1 species